AACGAACGCUGGCGGCAUGCCUAACACAUGCAAGUCGAACGAGACCUUCGGGUCUAGUGGCGCACGGGUGCGUAACGCGUGGGAACCUGCCCUUAGGUUCGGAAUAACUCCCCGAAAGGGGUGCUAAUACCGGAUAAUGUCUUCGGACCAAAGAUUUAUCGCCUUUGGAUGGGCCCGCGUUGGAUUAGCUAGUUGGUAGGGUAAAAGCCUACCAAGGCGACGAUCCAUAGCUGGUCUGAGAGGAUGAUCAGCCACACUGGGACUGAGACACGGCCCAGACUCCUACGGGAGGCAGCAGUGGGGAAUAUUGGACGAUGGGCGAAAGCCUGAUCCAGCAAUGCCGCGUGAGUGAUGCAGGCCUUAGGGUUGUAAAGCUCUUUUACCCGGGAUGAUAAUGACAGUACCGGGAGAAUAAGCUCCGGCUAACUCCGUG
rnacentral:rRNA from 1 species